rnacentral:rRNA from 1 species
UCCAGACUCCUACGGGAGGCAGCAGUGGGGGAUAUUGCACAAUGGGGGGAACCCUGAUGCGGCGACGCCGCGUGGGUGAAGAAGUAUUUCGGUAUGUAAAGCCCUAUCGGCAGGGAAGAAAUUGGACGGUACCUGACUAAGAAGCCCCGGCUAACUACGUGCCAGCAGCCGCGGUAAUACGUAGGGGGCAAGCGUUAUCCGGAUUCACUGGGUGUAAAGGGAGCGUAGACGGCCAUGCAAGCCUGGAGUGAAAGCCCGGGGCCCAACCCCGGGACUGCAUUUGGAACUGCGUGGCUUGAGUGUCGGAGAGGCAGGCGGAAUUCCUAGUGUAGCGGUGAAAUGCGUAGAUAUUAGGAGGAACACCAGUGGCGAAGGCGGCCUGCUGGACGAUGACUGACGUUGAGGCUCGAAAGCGUGGGGAGCAAACAGGAUUAGAUACCCGCGUAAG